rnacentral:rRNA from 1 species
GGGUUGUGAGGUUAAGCGACUAAGCGUACACGGUGGAUGCCCUGGCAGUCAGAGGCGAUGAAGGACGUGCUAAUCUGCGAAAAGCGUCGGUAAGGUGAUAUGAACCGUUAUAGCCGGCGAUGUCCGAAUGGGGAAACCCAGUGCAAUUCGUUGCACUAUCGUUAACUGAAUACAUAGGUUAACGAGGCGAACCGGGGGAACUGAAACAUCUAAGUACCCCGAGGAAAAGAAAUCAACCGAGAUUCCCCCAGUAGCGGCGAGCGAACGGGGAGCAGCCCAGAGUCUGAAUCAGCUUGUGUGUUAGUGGAACGGUCUGGAAAGUCCGACGGUACAGGGUGAUAGUCCCGUACACCAAAAUGCACAGGCUGUGAACUCGAAGAGUAGGGCGGGACACGUGGUAUCCUGUCUGAAUAUGGGGGGACCAUCCUCCAAGGCUAAAUACUCCUGACUGACCGAUAGUGAACCAGUACCGUGAGGGAAAGGCGAAAAGAACCCCGGCGAGGGGAGUGAAAAAGAACCUGAAACCGUGUACGUACAAGCAGUGGGAGCACCUUCGGGUGUGACUGCGUACCUUUUGUAUAAUGGGUCAGCGACUUAUAUUCUGUAGCAAGGUUAACCGUAUAGGGGAGCCGCAGGGAAACCGAGUCUUAACUGGGCGUUAAGUUGCAGGGUAUAGACCCGAAACCCGGUGAUCUAGCCAUGGGCAGGUUGAAGGUUGGGUAACACUAACUGGAGGACCGAACCGACUAAUGUUGAAAAAUUAGCGGAUGACUUGUGGCUGGGGGUGAAAGGCCAAUCAAACCGGGAGAUAGCUGGUUCUCCCCGAAAGCUAUUUAGGUAGCGCCUCGUGAACUCAUCUUCGGGGGUAGAGCACUGUUUCGGCUAGGGGGUCAUCCCGACUUACCAACCCGAUGCAAACUACGAAUACCGAAGAAUGUUAUCACGGGAGACACACGGCGGGUGCUAACGUCCGUCGUGAAGAGGGAAACAACCCAGACCGCCAGCUAAGGUCCCAAAGUCAUGGUUAAGUGGGAAACGAUGUGGGAAGGCACAGACAGCCAGGAUGUUGGCUUAGAAGCAGCCAUCAUUUAAAGAAAGCGUAAUAGCUCACUGGUCGAGUCGGCCUGCGCGGAAGAUGUAACGGGGCUAAACCAUGCACCGAAGCUGCGGCAGCGACACUAUGUGUUGUUGGGUAGGGGAGCGUUCUGUAAGCCUGCGAAGGUGUGCUGUGAGGCAUGCUGGAGGUAUCAGAAGUGCGAAUGCUGACAUAAGUAACGAUAAAGCGGGUGAAAAGCCCGCUCGCCGGAAGACCAAGGGUUCCUGUCCAACGUUAAUCGGGGCAGGGUGAGUCGACCCCUAAGGCGAGGCCGAAAGGCGUAGUCGAUGGGAAACAGGUUAAUAUUCCUGUACUUGGUGUUACUGCGAAGGGGGGACGGAGAAGGCUAUGUUAGCCGGGCGACGGUUGUCCCGGUUUAAGCAUGUAGGCUGAUUGUCCAGGCAAAUCCGGAUAAUCAAGGCUGAGGUGUGAUGACGAGGCACUACGGUGCUGAAGUAACAAAUGCCCUGCUUCCAGGAAAAGCCUCUAAGCAUCAGGUAACAUCAAAUCGUACCCCAAACCGACACAGGUGGUCAGGUAGAGAAUACCAAGGCGCUUGAGAGAACUCGGGUGAAGGAACUAGGCAAAAUGGUGCCGUAACUUCGGGAGAAGGCACGCUGGUGUGUAGGUGAAGUCCCUGCGGAUGGAGCUGAGACCAGUCGAAGAUACCAGCUGGCUGCAACUGUUUAUUAAAAACACAGCACUGUGCAAACACGAAAGUGGACGUAUACGGUGUGACGCCUGCCCGGUGCCGGAAGGUUAAUUGAUGGGGUUAUCCGUAAGGAGAAGCUCUUGAUCGAAGCCCCGGUAAACGGCGGCCGUAACUAUAACGGUCCUAAGGUAGCGAAAUUCCUUGUCGGGUAAGUUCCGACCUGCACGAAUGGCGUAAUGAUGGCCAGGCUGUCUCCACCCGAGACUCAGUGAAAUUGAACUCGCUGUGAAGAUGCAGUGUACCCGCGGCAAGACGGAAAGACCCCGUGAACCUUUACUAUAGCUUGACACUGAACAUUGAGCCUUGAUGUGUAGGAUAGGUGGGAGGCUUUGAAGCGUGGACGCCAGUCUGCGUGGAGCCAACCUUGAAAUACCACCCUUUAAUGUUUGAUGUUCUAACGUUGGCCCCUGACCGGGGUUGCGGACAGUGUCUGGUGGGUAGUUUGACUGGGGCGGUCUCCUCCCAAAGCGUAACGGAGGAGCACGAAGGUUAGCUAAUCCUGGUCGGACAUCAGGAGGUUAGUGCAAUGGCAUAAGCUAGCUUGACUGCGAGCGUGACGGCGCGAGCAGGUGCGAAAGCAGGUCAUAGUGAUCCGGUGGUUCUGAAUGGAAGGGCCAUCGCUCAACGGAUAAAAGGUACUCCGGGGAUAACAGGCUGAUACCGCCCAAGAGUUCAUAUCGACGGCGGUGUUUGGCACCUCGAUGUCGGCUCAUCACAUCCUGGGGCUGAAGUAGGUCCCAAGGGUAUGGCUGUUCGCCAUUUAAAGUGGUACGCGAGCUGGGUUUAGAACGUCGUGAGACAGUUCGGUCCCUAUCUGCCGUGGGCGCUGGAGAAUUGAGGGGGGCUGCUCCUAGUACGAGAGGACCGGAGUGGACGCAUCACUGGUGUUCGGGUUGUCAUGCCAAUGGCACUGCCCGGUAGCUAAAUGCGGAAGAGAUAAGUGCUGAAAGCAUCUAAGCACGAAACUUGCCCCGAGAUGAGUUCUCCCUGAGACUUUAAGUCUCCUGAAGGAACGUUAAAGACGAUGACGUUGAUAGGCCGGGUGUGUAAGCGCAGCGAUGCGUUGAGCUAACCGGUACUAAUGAACCGUGAGGCUUAACCUUACAACGCCGAAG